AUAUUGUACUUCAUUAAACAAAAUUGAAAACAAGAUAAUAAAAGAAAUCUGAAAACAUAAAAGCUGAAAAAAGGCGUUACCACAAGUCAAAUCCAUCCUCUAGUAAAUAAGUAUUG